rnacentral:lncRNA from 1 species
CAGCCUCUCCUCCUAUUACUACCAAGAUCACCUAAAACUCAGCACACAAUAUACUACUAUAUGAUUAAUCUUUUGCGUGGUAAGACUUUCUGAGUAGCCAAGAAUUGCGAUUUGCAAAGGCAAUCGAAAGAAAACAAAAUAUAAAUUUCUAUACAGGUCUAAAACUUUGAGCCCAGCCGCAAGAACUGCAAGACAAAUGAAAAGGACAAAUUGUUGCAGUUGAAAUGUUUGGGGCUUCUAGAUCGGUCUCAAGAACGCACCUAGGAUUUCUUCGGAGCCCAUAGCAUUGGAGAUUUCACUUCAGGUUCAGGGCGCCGCGCUCUCGCCGGACAGCGUCCGUCAGGACGUUGCCGGUUGCCCCGCCCAACUCUGCGUCGGCGGCCGCCUCGCCUCCUGCGCUCCUCCUCCGCGGCGGGGGCCCCGCUUCUAUGGUGGUGGUAAAUGCUCCGGUGAGCCUGCCUCCCCCACCACCGGCCUACACCGGCGGCGCGCCGGCGCCAGGGGCAUCUCACUCACGAGGAAUCCGAUGAAAGCGACGGGGAAAGAAAGAAUGAAAGAAACAGGAAAAUGC